rnacentral:misc_RNA from 1 species
AACACUGUUAACCUGCGGUACCUGCGGAGGGAUCAUCAUUGAAAACCCAUUUGACCAAGAGGUUUGCUUGAGGGGAGGGAGGCAGAUUUUGUCUCCUGCCCUGAAAGCGGCCUCUUGGACAAACAACCAAUCUUCAUGACUAGGAAAACACACAGUGAUUUGGUGGGGGGCUGACACAAGUUCUUGUCUGACAAGUAGCUUACUGAUUUGGAGCACGCUAACUGAUACAACUUUUAACAA